rnacentral:rRNA from 1 species
GGGUUGUGAGGUUAAGCGACUAAGCGUACACGGUGGAUGCCCUGGCAGUCAGAGGCGAUGAAGGACGUGCUAAUCUGCGAUAAGCGUCGGUAAGGUGAUAUGAACCGUUAUAACCGGCGAUUUCCGAAUGGGGAAACCCAGUGUGAUUCGUCACACUAUCAUUAACUGAAUCCAUAGGUUAAUGAGGCGAACCGGGGGAACUGAAACAUCUAAGUACCCCGAGGAAAAGAAAUCAACCGAGAUUCCCCCAGUAGCGGCGAGCGAACGGGGAGCAGCCCAGAGCCUGAAUCAGUGUGUGUGUUAGUGGAAGCGUCUGGAAAGGCGUGCGAUACAGGGUGACAGCCCCGUACACAAAAAUGCACAUACUGUGAGCUCGAUGAGUAGGGCGGGACACGUGGUAUCCUGUCUGAAUAUGGGGGGACCAUCCUCCAAGGCUAAAUACUCCUGACUGACCGAUAGUGAACCAGUACCGUGAGGGAAAGGCGAAAAGAACCCCGGCGAGGGGAGUGAAAAAGAACCUGAAACCGUGUACGUACAAGCAGUGGGAGCCUCUUAAUGGGGUGACUGCGUACCUUUUGUAUAAUGGGUCAGCGACUUAUAUUCUGUAGCAAGGUUAACCGAAUAGGGGAGCCGAAGGGAAACCGAGUCUUAACUGGGCGUUAAGUUGCAGGGUAUAGACCCGAAACCCGGUGAUCUAGCCAUGGGCAGGUUGAAGGUUGGGUAACACUAACUGGAGGACCGAACCGACUAAUGUUGAAAAAUUAGCGGAUGACUUGUGGCUGGGGGUGAAAGGCCAAUCAAACCGGGAGAUAGCUGGUUCUCCCCGAAAGCUAUUUAGGUAGCGCCUCGUGAAUUCAUCUCCGGGGGUAGAGCACUGUUUCGGCAAGGGGGUCAUCCCGACUUACCAACCCGAUGCAAACUGCGAAUACCGGAGAAUGUUAUCACGGGAGACACACGGCGGGUGCUAACGUCCGUCGUGAAGAGGGAAACAACCCAGACCGCCAGCUAAGGUCCCAAAGUCAUGGUUAAGUGGGAAACGAUGUGGGAAGGCCCAGACAGCCAGGAUGUUGGCUUAGAAGCAGCCAUCAUUUAAAGAAAGCGUAAUAGCUCACUGGUCGAGUCGGCCUGCGCGGAAGAUGUAACGGGGCUAAACCAUGCACCGAAGCUGCGGCAGCGACACUAUGUGUUGUUGGGUAGGGGAGCGUUCUGUAAGCCUGUGAAGGUGUACUGUGAGGUAUGCUGGAGGUAUCAGAAGUGCGAAUGCUGACAUAAGUAACGAUAAAGCGGGUGAAAAGCCCGCUCGCCGGAAGACCAAGGGUUCCUGUCCAACGUUAAUCGGGGCAGGGUGAGUCGACCCCUAAGGCGAGGCCGAAAGGCGUAGUCGAUGGGAAACAGGUUAAUAUUCCUGUACUUGGUGUUACUGCGAAGGGGGGACGGAGAAGGCUAUGUUGGCCGGGCGACGGUUGUCCCGGUUUAAGCGUGUAGGCUGGUUUUCCAGGCAAAUCCGGAAAAUCAAGGCUGAGGCGUGAUGACGAGGCACUACGGUGCUGAAGCAACAAAUGCCCUGCUUCCAGGAAAAGCCUCUAAGCAUCAGGUAACAUCAAAUCGUACCCCAAACCGACACAGGUGGUCAGGUAGAGAAUACCAAGGCGCUUGAGAGAACUCGGGUGAAGGAACUAGGCAAAAUGGUGCCGUAACUUCGGGAGAAGGCACGCUGAUAUGUAGGUGAAGUCCCUCGCGGAUGGAGCUGAAAUCAGUCGAAGAUACCAGCUGGCUGCAACUGUUUAUUAAAAACACAGCACUGUGCAAACACGAAAGUGGACGUAUACGGUGUGACGCCUGCCCGGUGCCGGAAGGUUAAUUGAUGGGGUUAGCGGUAACGCGAAGCUCUUGAUCGAAGCCCCGGUAAACGGCGGCCGUAACUAUAACGGUCCUAAGGUAGCGAAAUUCCUUGUCGGGUAAGUUCCGACCUGCACGAAUGGCGUAAUGAUGGCCAGGCUGUCUCCACCCGAGACUCAGUGAAAUUGAACUCGCUGUGAAGAUGCAGUGUACCCGCGGCAAGACGGAAAGACCCCGUGAACCUUUACUAUAGCUUGACACUGAACAUUGAGCCUUGAUGUGUAGGAUAGGUGGGAGGCUUUGAAGUGUGGACGCCAGUCUGCAUGGAGCCGGCCUUGAAAUACCACCCUUUAAUGUUUGAUGUUCUAACGUUGGCCCCUGAUCGGGGUUGCGGACAGUGUCUGGUGGGUAGUUUGACUGGGGCGGUCUCCUCCUAAAGAGUAACGGAGGAGCACGAAGGUUGGCUAAUCCUGGUCGGACAUCAGGAGGUUAGUGCAAUGGCAUAAGCCAGCUUGACUGCGAGCGUGACGGCGCGAGCAGGUGCGAAAGCAGGUCAUAGUGAUCCGGUGGUUCUGAAUGGAAGGGCCAUCGCUCAACGGAUAAAAGGUACUCCGGGGAUAACAGGCUGAUACCGCCCAAGAGUUCAUAUCGACGGCGGUGUUUGGCACCUCGAUGUCGGCUCAUCACAUCCUGGGGCUGAAGUAGGUCCCAAGGGUAUGGCUGUUCGCCAUUUAAAGUGGUACGCGAGCUGGGUUUAGAACGUCGUGAGACAGUUCGGUCCCUAUCUGCCGUGGGCGCUGGAGAACUGAGGGGGGCUGCUCCUAGUACGAGAGGACCGGAGUGGACGCAUCACUGGUGUUCGGGUUGUCAUGCCAAUGGCACUGCCCGGUAGCUAAAUGCGGAAGAGAUAAGUGCUGAAAGCAUCUAAGCACGAAACUUGCCCCGAGAUGAGUUCUCCCUGACUCCUUGAGAGUCCUGAAGGAACGUUGAAGACGACGACGUUGAUAGGCCGGGUGUGUAAGCGCAGCGAUGCGUUGAGCUAACCGGUACUAAUGAACCGUGAGGCUUAACCUUACAACGCCGAAGGUGUUU